rnacentral:rRNA from 1 species
AGAGUUUGAUCAUGGCUCAGAAUCAACGCUGGCGGCGUGCCUAACACAUGCAAGUCGAACGCGAAAGCCCGCAAGGGUAAGUAGAGUGGCGCACGGGUGAGUAACACGUGGACAACCUGCCUUCGAGUGGGGAAUAACCUUCCGAAAGGGGGGCUAAUACCGCAUAAAACCUCGGAACACAAGUUCUGGGGUUGAAAAGAGCAAUUUGCUCGAAGAGGGGUCCGCGCCUGAUUAGCUAGUUGGUGAGGUAACGGCUCACCAAGGCUUCGAUCAGUAGCCGUCCUGAGAGGGAGCACGGCCACACUGGAACUGAGACACGGUCCAGACUCCUACGGGAGGCAGCAGUGGGGAAUUUUUGGCAAUGGGCGAAAGCCUGACCAAGCAACGCCGCGUGGGUGAUGAAGUAUCUUGGUACGUAAAACCCUUUCGGCAGGGACGAACCUAAUGACGGUACCUGCGAAGAAGA